GCUCAGGACGAACGCUGGCGGCGUGCCUWAUACAUGCAAGUCGAGCGGACUUUAAAAGCUUGCUUUUAAAGUUAGCGGCGGACGGGUGAGUAACACGUGGGCAACCUGCCUGUAAGACUGGGAUAACUUCGGGAAACCGGAGCUAAUACCGGAUAAUCCUUUUCCUCUCAUGAGGAAAAGCUGAAAGACGGUUUACGCUGUCACUUACAGAUGGGCCCGCGGCGCAUUAGCUAGUUGGUGAGGUAACGGCUCACCAAGGCGACGAUGCGUAGCCGACCUGAGAGGGUGAUCGGCCACACUGGGACUGAGACACGGCCCAGACUCCUACGGGAGGCAGCAGUAGGGAAUCUUCCGCAAUGGACGAAAGUCUGACGGAGCAACGCCGCGUGAGUGAUGAAGGUUUUCGGAUCGUAAAACUCUGUUGUUAGGGAAGAACAAGUACAAGAGUAACUGCUUGUACCUUGACGGUACCUAAC
rnacentral:rRNA from 2 species